GAUGAACGCUGGCGGCGUGCCUAACACAUGCAAGUCGAGCGGAAAUUCAGGAAGUAGUAAUACGGACUGGAUUUUAGCGGCGGACGGGUGAGUAACACGUGAGCAAUCUGCCUCUUGCAGGGGAAUAACAUUGUGAAAACAGUGCUAAUACCGCAUGACGUCCAACCGGGGCAUCCCGGAUGGACCAAAGGAGAAAUCCGGCAAGAGAUGAGCUCGCGUCCGAUUAGCUAGUUGGUGAGGUAAUGGCUCACCAAGGCGACGAUCGGUAGCCGAACUGAGAGGUUGAUCGGCCACAUUGGGACUGAGACACGGCCCAGACUCCUACGGGAGGCAGCAGUGGGGAAUAUUGGGCAAUGGGCGCAAGCCUGACCCAGCAACGCCGCGUGAAGGAUGAAGGCCUUCGGGUUGUAAACUUCUUUGAUCAGGGA
rnacentral:rRNA from 1 species